UACGAAGGGGGCUAGCGUUGCUCGGAAUGACUGGGCGUAAAGCGCACGCAGGCGGUUCGCCAAGUUUGGAGUGACAGUUGUCGGCUCAACCGACAAAGGACUUCAAAAACUGGUGAACUUGAGGACGAGAGAGGAACAUGGAACUCCAGGUGUAGUAGUGAAAUGCGUAGAUAUCUGGAAGAACACCAAUGGCGAAGGCAAUGUUCUGGCUCGUUUCUGACGCUCAGGUGCGAAAGCCAGGGGAGCGAACGGG
rnacentral:rRNA from 1 species